rnacentral:rRNA from 1 species
CAGCAGUCGCCACGGUAAUACAGAGGGUGCGAGCGUUAAUCGGAUUUACUGGGCGUAAAGCGUGCGUAGGCGGCUUUUUAAGUCGGAUGUGAAAUCCCUGAGCUUAACUUAGGAAUUGCAUUCGAUACUGGGAAGCUAGAGUAUGGGAGAGGAUGGUAGAAUUCCAGGUGUAGCGGUGAAAUGCGUAGAGAUCUGGAGGAAUACCGAUGGCGAAGGCAGCCAUCUGGCCUAAUACUGACGCUGAGGUACGAAAGCAUGGGGAGCAAACAGGAUUAGAUACCCCCGUAGUCCCUGUCUCUUAUAC